rnacentral:rRNA from 1 species
UACGAAGGGGGCUAGCGUUGUUCGGAAUCACUGGGCGUAAAGGGCGCGUAGGCGGCUUUAUAAGUCGGGGGUGAAAGCCUGUGGCUCAACCACAGAAUUGCUUUCGAUACUGUAGAGCUUGAGACCGGAAGAGGUAAGUGGAACUGCGAGUGUAGAGGUGAAAUUCGUAGAUAUUCGCAAGAACACCAAUGGCGAAGGCAGCUCGCUGGGACGUGACUGACGCUGAGACGCGAAAAGCGUGGGGAGCAAACAGGG